GCAUACCGGAGAUCAACACUGGCCCUCUAUCCAAGCCUGGAGCCAAGACAGCUGUCACCCACUUUUUUGACACUGCCUGGCCACUUCCGGUGCCGCUGGGAGGAAGAGGCGGGUCCUAGAUGGAUGGCGCUUGUGCAGUCAGUCUGGUGGAUAUAGAGCCGACGGUGGCAGCAUGUUGUCGGCUGCUAGAGUUGUCGGCUUCCGGCGGCGUUUUCGGCAGCGGUACUGGCCUGGAGAGUGCGGGAACGAAGACAUUUUCAUGGAUAUGAAACUGGAUGCAGUUGAAGUUCAUCUGCUGGGUAAUCUUCCAUUUCUGGGGACUGCUUGACUUCCUGCUAAACACAGCUGGGACUUCUUCCUGGAGAGGAGCAACUGCUCCAUGCCAAUGUGUGUCCUGUGGCCAGUGAGGAGUGCGCCUGUGCCUGGCGCUUUGACCCAGAAGUGCACCCGCAGGCGCCGCCACUUCUGCCCUCGAUGCACUGGUGGGAGUCAGCGCCGUGUCCGCUCCUGCCCAGAGCCUUGAGGAGCCGCCUUCAACGCUGGUGGCUGAACCUGAGGAGACCCAGGGCCCUGCAGACUCAGGCUGGGAUCAGACUGCACACACAGAGGAGAAAGCAGAAGCUUAGAGAAAUGCCAAGAAUCCCUCAGUGCCCUGUUCCAGCCUGCCCCAAGAUUCUGACACCUCACACCCCUUCUGGAAGCAAUGGCUGUCCCGCCAGCAGACCAGGCCCCCUUGGAGGCACAGUCCUCUUCUUUGGCCCCUCUGAAAGACUACACCUCAGGUCUGGAUUCCUGUGUCAGAGGAACAGAAAGGCUCUUUCUGUGGAGAGUUUGGCAUGGUGGCCUUCCUGUCACUGGGCUGCACACACGAAGGAGAAAGCAGAAGCUUAGAGAAAUGCCAAGAAUCCCUCUGUGCUGUGUUCCAGGCUGUCCCAAGAUUCUGACACCUCAUAGUAAGUACUAGAUAUUUUUUUCUAUUUAAAUACUGGUUUGAAAGGCAGAAUUAUAGAUGAGGAGGUGUGGGAGAGAUCUUCGUGUAUGGGUUCACCCCCCAGGUGACUACAUUACCAGGGCUGGGCCAGGCGGGAGCAGAAGCCAGGUACUUUAUCCAGUACUCCAGAGUGGGUUCAGGGGCCCAAGUUCUUGGGGUGCAUCCUCUGCUUUCCUAGGCAUUUCAGCAUACAUCUGGAUCACAAGUGGGAACAGCCUGCGGGUGGGGGUGGGGUGGCCGACAGAACAGUGGCAUAGUGGAUGAAGCUGCCGCCUGUAGUACCAGCAUCCCAUAUGGGUGUCUUCCUUCUCUAUGAUACUUUUCUUCUCAUUCCCCCAGCAAACUAAGUAUCC
rnacentral:lncRNA from 1 species